UUUGUAAGAAGGGCCAAGAAAAAGCACGAGAACUUCGUGGGAGACUGUAGUACGUGAGCCAGGUUUCUCUUUUGCUUGGGUGGUGGUCUGAGACCAGAGAGAGCAGCAUCCUGCGCCUCCAGGGCAGAAGACCAAGGUGGCUCUUUACCUUUCAUUGUGCAUGCUUGGAACACACUCAUUUUCUCAGGAUUUGAGAGUCGUAGAAGAUCAAAUGAAGUCAAGGCCAGCCUGGGCUACACAGUGAGACCCCGUAAAUGGAAUGAUUUGAGGCUUGUGUAAAGAAAUGGAAACCAAGAACCAGCAUAAAAUUCUGCAGUCACUCUGAGGACACCCAUCUUUGAUUUGAGCUUUGGUGGAGUUCUUUUGAAGUCAUUGACCAGGCUCUGAGUUCUAUAUAAUUCUCUAAGAUCCAAGAAUUCAUUUGACAAAAGGAAAAGGAAAAAUCAUCAGUGUCCAGAGAAACUUGCGACUGUUUAAUAGAAUAAUGCCCUUCAUUCCUCAGCAGAAUAAGAGAGAAUGAAGAAGCCACUGUUAGAAACUCAGUCCUGCUUCCCAAGAGUGGUGAGGCAGAAGGACUUGACAUGGGUUGCAACAUUCUUUCUUGAUGUGCAGGUUUGAGCUACAAUCCAAAGUCGUGAAUGAAGGAAAAGUCUUGCCAUAUGAAUGAAUGAAUUUUGAUUAUCUGACAUUUGAAGCAUGUGCAACAUUUGCCUGGUGUGGUCUGACCAGCAAAAAUAGAGCUUUUAAAUGAUGAAAAAUGUAGAACUUAGUGGAAAUAUAAAUUUGUAUAGUUUUCUUGUGUAAA